GGUAUAGCUGAAUGGUAAAGCAUUUGCCUGGCAUACAUAAGGCCCUGGGUUUGAUCCUCAGCACC
rnacentral:tRNA from 1 species